rnacentral:rRNA from 1 species
GGGUCAGUAGGUUGGUCGUGCCACCGGUACAUACUGGUCUCACUGAUUCCUCCUUCCUGAAGAACCGUAAUGCCAUUAAUUUGGUGUUGCGGGGAAACAGGACUGUUACUUUGAAAAAAUUAGAGUGUUUAAAGCAAGCUAACGCUUGAAUACAUUAGCAGGGAAUAAUGAAAUAGGACGAUCGAUCCUAUUUUGUUGGUUUCUAGGAUUGACGUA